GAUGAACGCUGGCGGCGUGCUUAACACAUGCAAGUCGAACGAUGAAGCCCAGCUUGCUGGGUGGAUUAGUGGCGAACGGGUGAGUAACACGUGAGUAACCUGCCCUUAACUCUGGGAUAAGCCUGGGAAACGGGGUCUAAUACCGGAUAGGAGCGUCCACCGCAUGGGGGGUGUUGGAAAGAUUUAUCGGUUUUGGAUGGACUCGCGGCCUAUCAGCUUGUUGGUGAGGUAAUGGCUCACCAAGGCGACGACGGGUAGCCGGCCUGAGAGGGUGACCGGCCACACUGGGCCUGAGACACGGCCCAGACUCCUACGGGAGGCAGCAGUGGGGAAUAUUGCACAAUGGGCGCAAGCCUGAUGCAGCGACGCCGCGUGAGGGAUGACGGCCUUCGGGUUGUAAACCUCUUUCAGUAGGGAAGAAGCGAUAGUGACGGUACCUGCAGAAGAAGCACCGGCUAACUACGUG
rnacentral:rRNA from 1 species